rnacentral:rRNA from 1 species
AACCUGGUUGAUCCUGCCAGUAGUCAUAUAGCUUGUCUCAAAGACUAAUGCCAUGCAUGUCUAAGUAUAAAUGCUAUACAGUGAAACUGCGAAUGGCUCAUUAUAACAGUUAUAGUUUAUCAUGGUAAUCAAAUAUUACAUGGAUAACCGUGGUAAUACUAGAGCUAAUACAUGCUGUGAAUGCCCGACU